CGAGGAGGAGGGGAAAGAAAUUCAGCAUUUAAAAGUGCAACCGUCAAUCACCGUGAAACACACGCUGGAGGCAAUUUCCCAUAUAUUCCCGGUGAUUACCUCGCUCCGUUAUUAGAUUUAUUCGAACUCAACUCACGUUCGUCACUUUUAAAUGCCUUGCGCCUGCGCGUAAAGAAUCCGGGAGCUGUCCAAGUGCUGAACUGAAAGAAGAAAAAGAAGAAGGGGGGAAAAAAACGAGGCGUUCCUCUCUCAUUCCUUGACAGCCCCUCUCACCUGAAAACGGUUUCACUUCAUAGAUGCCAGCAAGCCUGGAAGCAGGUCGAAGCCUUUUUAGAUCUCAAUCCACCGCCUGAAGAGGAGCUGCAAGUCGACGCGUCUUGGAGUUAACAUAAUUUCGACGGUUCUUUUAUUUUUAUUAUUUUUAUUUCCUCCCCCCUCCCCCUCCCCCCCCCGACCCCAAGGACUGUUGUUUCUCCCCGCCUUUGCUUCGAGCAGUUUGAUUUUGUGUGCUGGAGUUUUUCUGUGAAACUGAACUAUGAUCUUUGGCCGCUUUGAGGAAUGUCUCCCGCGUUUCUGCGUGACCCGAGACAGCCCGAACGCCAACGACUUGGUCAGGAGGAGAACGCCGCUGUUCCCGUCUGGAUUAUGUGUUUGACUGAUGUGAACCAUAUGGAAGAAAUAGAAUAGAAAAGUGAAGCACAUGGGGAAACCACCGGGAAUGAAACAAUCCUUCUUUAAGGUUUUAGCAGCUAUCUUCACAUACUUCCUGGAGAUGAGCAACUUCAGAGCUGUGGUCGCCAAGGAGUACGAUUCCAGGUCCUCAUCCAACAUGUCUCCAUCAGACUUUCUGGACUCCUUAAUGGGUCGCACGUCCGGGUACGAUGCACGAAUUAGACCCAAUUUCAAAGGUUUGUCCGCAACCAAAUGAGUCUCACCACACACGCACGCAAACACACACACAUUUCACUUCCCACAUUUUGAGAACUAUAAAUAGCCACAGAAAUGCCACUGUAAGUGUAAACACUAAUCUUUUUAACCAGUUGCGUACUGGAUUCUAUCUGUUGCCAAGGAACUGGGCUUCAAGCAACUCGGAGGCAACAAUCAAUCACUUCAAUUAACAGUAACAGCGAGGACCCUGCUUAGAUUUAAUCACAGUCCACACUGUGCCACUCAAUGAUGGUUUUCUUAUCUGAAAGCUGUCUAAAAUUCAAUAUCCACCUUUAUUAAAUGUGAGAUCAGAAUCGGGAGCUGGAAAUAUCCCAGCAACACAGAAAUAAGACACGUUCUCACUUCAGACAGGGAUGCCGGCUAGACGAUUGAUGGUGCCCCAGUGGCUAGACUGCAGGCUCUGCUGCUGUUGUUGCUUUGAUGCUGAGGACACACACAGCUUCUGUCAUUGGAAUGGUUUUGAGUGAGCAAAGGUUUCGCUUAUGGGGGGCUAAGGCCCACUCUUAGCUUCUGGGGUCACCUGGGAUGUUGUUUGUUACAGUCCAUGGACUCCAGUAGGUAAAGCAGCUUGAAAAUACAGGACGGGGAAAAGCACAACGAUCCAUUGUCUGUACCUCGGUUUUCUUGCAAGGUCACAGGGGACUGGUGUUUAUCUCCGGCAGUCAUAGGGCAAGAGGUGGUGUAGACGUGGUCACCAGCCCUUCACAGGGUCACAACAAUAUAGAAUACAUUUUUCUUGGAAUUUUUACAUCACAGACAAACAUAUAGUAGCACAUUAUUGAGGUGGAACUAAAAUUAAACAAUCCACAUAGUGUAGUCCUCUUUAAAAUAAUAAUAAUAAUAAUAAUUUUAAUCCAAUGCUACUUAAUACAAUUCAGUUCCACCGACUAUCUAUAGUAAAUAGAGUCCACCUGCAGGCAAUUUAAUCUCAGCAUGGAUGCAGCUGUUUUGUGAAGAUCUCAGAGGUUAUGCAGAGAACAUCUGUGAGCAACCAGCAUCACAAAGAACAAGGAAUAUAUCCGACUGCUCAGGGAUAAAACUGUGAAGAAGUUCACAGCUGCAAGCUUUAAGAGUUACAAUGGACUGGUUUAAAUAAAAACUUUUUAAUAUGGCUGCUCAAAGCCCAGAUUUACUUCCAAUAGAGAAUCUCUUAAAAUUUGUUGAUAACACGAACUGAGCCAUAGCUAUUAUGCUCUGAAUAUGGUGGAAACAUGUUCAGAUCUGUUGGUGGUACAACCGAACAUAUACAGUUGUAAAUGCAGUGAAAGUUGGUCUUGUCAAGUAAUAACUCAGUUUUAGCUAAGCACUCACUAAACGAUAUCACACUUUUCAGAUGUAAACUUGUUUGUUUUUCUUCCUGACUAUUAUCCACUGCAGUGUGUUUGUGUAUGACAUAAACUCUGAAUAAAAAGAGUCAAAGUUUUUAACUGAAACAAAAACAACAAAAAAAUGUGAAAGAAGGUAUGAAUAUUUAAUUCCUGUAUGCCAUAUAUUCUUUGUCUCUUAGGGGAAUCUGGCACAUGUCAAGAUUUCUGUGACACAUAUGAGAUGAUAAGAAGAAUUGUUAUAUUUUUAGAUAGUACUGAUACAUAAAACAUCGAUUUUUGCUGAUUUAACCUGGUUGUUUUAAUGCUAGAAGUGAGAGCGGGGUCCUCUCUCUGUAUUAAACACAUAGAGCUUCACAUGUUGCAGUCAGAAAGCAAGCACAUCCACAUUAAGCCGCUGUGCUGUAAACAGUUAGUUUUUGCUCAUGAACCUGCUAGACGUACUUUGAAGAGUGUCGAACCGUGUUUCUAAAGAGGCUGACCUAGAUUUCCAAUGCCGAGUUUGUUAUGAGGAGCUGCUGCCAGUUACCUCUUUCUGCUGUAAAAAUGUGGAAACUUGACAACAAACAGAGGCAAAUAUUAAUACAGAGAGCCAUGAAAUAUUAAUGUGGAAAACACAGGGGAAAGGCAGUAGGAAGAGCUUACAACUUCACUUAUCAGCUUGGGGAGAAAGAUUUGCUGUGACUCGUAAUGCAAGUCUUGCAAAGAUAUUUUAGUUCAGGGAGCUGCAGAGAAAAACUACCUUCCCUACUGGAGUAUAUAGGAUAGAUUGCCUUAUUCUGUUGUAGAGAAAAUGUUUAUUUGAUGGUUUAGAAUUGAAGCAUGACCUUUCACUAUCAAAUACACUUGCUUUGUUAAUUUAUUACAAAUGAACAUUUUAUAGUGAUUUUGAUAUAUUUGAUGAUUUUUUUUUCUGAUCAUAACCCCAACUUAUAUUUGCAGCACCAAUGAGUACCUCAAGUAUUCACUCCUCUUUCAAUUUCAUUUUUUUUAUGCUAUAACCACAAACUAAAUACAAUUUAUCUGGAUGUAACGUGACAGCAUGUAGGAAAGAAAACUAGUUUGUAGUUCAAAAUUUGAAACAGAAAUCUAAAAAGGAA